UACGUAGGGCGCGAGCGUUGUCCGGAUUUAUUGGGCGUAAAGAGCUCGUAGGCGGCUUGUCGCGUCGACCGUGAAAACUCACAGCUCAACUGUGAGCCUGCGGUCGAUACGGGCAGGCUAGAGUUCGGUAGGGGAGACUGGAAUUCCUGGUGUAGCGGUGAAAUGCGCAGAUAUCAGGAGGAACACCGGUGGCGAAGGCGGGUCUCUGGGCCGAUACUGACGCUGAGGAGCGAAAGCGUGGGGAGCGAACAGG
rnacentral:rRNA from 1 species